CCGUUUUAUACGUGUCAUGAACUUGAGACGACAAGAAAAUUAAAAUGUACUUCAUCAACUUCUUUUCGAGAUGGAGGACAAAAAAUUUUGUGUCCAAACAUCUGUUUACCAAGGGGAAAAGAAGCAAAACAGGCUCAAUCGAUCGAGUGGAGAUCAUGCAUCCGAUCGAGUAUAUGGAUCCGAGCUGAGGAAUCGAGUCAAAAUUCGAGCGGACCAGAGAAGUAGCUCGACCAAGCAUCCGACCAAGGCCCUCAAUCGGACUGAUCGAAUGCACGACCGAGGAGACCAAUCGAGCAGACUUCAACCGCCUUUCUAUUUUAUAUUUUUUUAUUUUAAGCCUUCUAUAAAUAGGCCUCUUGGCUAAUGACUCCAGAAUCGAGUUUUGUUCUAUGCUUUUCUCUUUUAUGCUCUAGAUUUCCAGAAACUUGUAAAAUUCAUAUCUUUUGAUCUAUUUGGAAUUUACUGUUGGUUCUUUGUUUGAUA